rnacentral:sRNA from 1 species
UGUUAUGGUCAACAAAGUCAAAGGCUUU